UUCUCUCUAAACUAGCAGUUUCCUCUGCACCUAGGGAGAGCCCGCUGCAAAAAAGGCUCACUCAGAUCCUCGGGUGUACAUGACAUCAAGAUCGGGAACAAGCCAGCUGGCCACAUCCAAAUGCUCCUGUGUUCAGACGUUGUGCCCAUGACAGCAGUGUUUCUGGGAAACAGAUCAUGGAGAUUCGCAUGCAGGAAGUUUAUUGGAGAGUGAUCUCAGGAACAACUCUUUUAAGAGAAUGAGAGAAGCAUAUUGGACAGAGAGAGUAUUUUCAACUGUCUUGCAGUCACAUAGAGACCUCAGCUGAUCCCAUGGGGAGUUGUGGAGCUUGGAUGUCCUUUCAGAGUUGUCCUGAAUUGAGACGAGGGGGGCCAGGCCUUUGUACCUCACGUGGACCAGUUGUGAAUUCUGGCUGGUUCCCAGAGGUGGUGUAAACUUUGGUGAGGCAGCUCCCUUUGGCCAAGGGCAUUUCCCAGGGUUGGUCUCAUCCAGGGCUGGUCACAUCCAACACUCCUGGGUGCUGAGGGUAUGGUGGUCUUGGUCUUGCGGGGGAUCUGAGUGGCUUUCCACAGCCUCUCCUGUGGCCUCCCGUCACACCACUCGGAUCCACCUGCUUCAUUUGAUAGGUUCACUUCACCUGGGAACGACUCCUCCAGGGCUCCGGUAGUCUCUUUCCCUUGGGGACAUUAGAGGAAAUGAAAGGAGAGUUGGUGGGAUGAACUACAGUUCCCAUUGCUGCUGUUGGUCCCAGAACUACAACCAAUGCUCAUCAUCUCCCUCCUCUACCACCUUUUCUAGAUUCCUCUUAGCCUCACCUCAGCUGGCUCCUCUGUGGGUCCACAUGGCUUACGUGGUAAAGCGUAGGAGUGACCUGUGCUUUUGUCCAUGGAGAUUUGAGCUCCUGGUUGUUAUGCCCUUGUCAGGCCGCAGCUGCCCUGUCAGAAUUGGGCAGGAGAGUACAAGAGAUGUGCCCAUGGGUGCCAUGUGCCCUUGGUGCCAGGCCUGUUCUGACCAUCCCUUUUGUGUGACGGCCAAGUGGCCUUCUCCUGAUGGUCAGGGUCAACUGUCCUGCUGGGAUGGUGGCUCCUUUCUUACUUGCUUGUCUCUUGGCGCAAGGAGCCUAAUGUGCUCAGGCAGCAGUCGUAGUUUAAAGGCUAACGGGACUCUGGUCCCCACUGGUAAAAAUGUACCUUGUGGAAGCCAGGACCUCUAGAUGCACAGAGCCUUGAGUGCAGGGAUGGAAAGAAGAGUAAUGGUAAGCAGGGCCACCGCAAUGUCCCUCCCUGGGUUCCUGGACUCCCAGGACACAGCACUCUGUAAUGGUCAUUGAUUCAGGGUGUAUGUUGUGCCCAUCUCACAGGGUGUCAUUUCUAAGCUGGUGCCUCAACUGUAUAUUAAGGCCUUUCCCUCUUUCUAUUAGUUCUGAAUGGUGUGGUGUAUGAUAGGAACAGUGGAUCCCAAGUUCAAGUGCUGACUGCCACACCGCCUUUGCUGUAAAAUGGGUCCUUGGUUUGAUGGGAUGUCAUGCUGUAUCUUAGUCCAUUUGUGCUGGUAUAAUAAAAUACUGGGGACCAGGUAA